AUUGAACGCUGGCGGCAUGCCUUACACACGCAAGUCGAACGGCAGCACGGGAGCAAUCCUGGUGGCGAGUGGCGAACGGGUGAGUAAUGUAUCGGAACGUGCCCAGUCGUGGGGGAUAACGCAGCGAAAGCUGUGCUAAUACCGCAUACGAUCUAUGGAUGAAAGCGGGGGAUCGCAAGACCUCGCGCGAUUGGAGUGGCCGAUAUCAGAUUAGCUAGUUGGUGGGGUAAAAGCUUACCAAGGCGACGAUCUGUAGCUGGUCUGAGAGGACGACCAGCCACACUGGAACUGAGACACGGUCCAGACUCCUACGGGAGGCAGCAGUGGGGAAUUUUGGACAAUGGGCGCAAGCCUGAUCCAGCAAUGCCGCGUGCAGGAUGAAGGCCUUCGGGUUGUAAACUGCUUUUGUACGGAGCGAAAAGGCUCUCUCUAAUACAGGGGGCUCAUGACGGUACCGUAAGAAUAAGCACCGGCUAACUACGUGCCAGCCGCCGCUGUAACAC
rnacentral:rRNA from 1 species